AUGCGCCACCCAGCGCUCGUAGUAAUGGAUGUACCUGUCAAGGGAGGCCCUGGCGUAGGCCUGCCGGGCGUCGAUCUCGUCGACCUCGUAGCGGUUGCAGGUGUGGCCGCCGUGGUAGUCGGCGAGGCAGAUCCAGCAGAACUGGUGGCGGCAGGGGUCCCGGCAGGUCAUGUGGUUGCAGCCCGUGUUCUUCUCGAUGGGGCGCCGGCACUUGGGGCAGAGCUUCGUGUUGGCUAUCACCCAGUUGGUGCUCUCCGACUCGGAGCUGUUCUUGGCCGCCCACUCGCGCACCGUGCGGCACGGCACCGGCCGGUGCGACUCCUCCGCGCACACGAUGCAGAAGCCGUGGCCGCAGUCGCACACCACGUCCAGCUGCUCGCUCAGGCUUUCCCCGCCGAGGUACUCCAUGGCGAGGCCGCACCCGGGAGCGGGGCACCACCUCAUGGUCUUGCUCUCCUCCACGUACGACCGGAGCGCGAACCCCGCGUACCGCUGCUUGUCCUCCUCGUCGGCGACGUCGUCCACCAGGUCCCGGAUCACGGCCGCCGAGCAGGACGGGUCCGGGCACCGCAGCGACAGGCACCGGGCGCCGUCCUCCACCGCCGCGCGUAUGUACCCGCGCCAGAAAACGCGGCAGUACAGGUGGCCGCACCCCGCCGACUUCAUCUGGCUUGGAGCGUGAUUGUCGAAGCAGAGGUCGCAGGUGAGCUUCUUACCCUUGCGCUUGCGCUUGGGCUCUGCCACGGCGUCGCCGUCGCUGGGCGGCAGCAGGCCGACGGCGGCGCGGAGGCCCUGCUCGUCGGAGAACCACUUGUCCUGGACCACGAGGGAGCUCCAGUGGCAGUGGCGCAGGACGAUGGCCGCGAUCGCCGGCGGGACCUGGAUGAGGUCGGCGACCCCGGCGAUGCAGUCGUCCUGGAGCGCGCGCACGGCGUCCUCGGUGAGGACCUUGUACUUCUGCCUCCUCGCGGCCAGCAGCGUCGCCAUGUCGUCGUCCGACUCGAGCUCGAUCGGGUCCUCCUCCUCGUCGAAAUCGCUGUAGCCCUGGUCGUCGUUGUCGCUCGACGCCAU
rnacentral:rRNA from 1 species